rnacentral:pre_miRNA from 1 species
UAUAAGGGAUUUUGAGUUUUUUGCUUUCAACGUUUGACUACUCGUCUUAUUCAAAAUUUUUUAAAAUUAUUAUUUAUUUUAUUUGUGACUCACUUUAUUAUCUACAGUAUUUUAAGCACAACUUUUUGUUUUUUAUACUUGCAAAAAAAAUUAAAUAAGACGAGUGGUCAAACGUUGCAUGUAAAAACUCAAAAUCCCUUAUA